GUUUUUUUUUUUUUUUUUGGAGGUUAAAAUGCAUUGAAGAGAUUCCUUUAUGUUUUUACUAUUUCUGUAGUUUCUUGCGUUAAAACAUGCCUUAUUUUGUUUUAGCAUGUCCUGCUGAGUUUCAAGCUAUAGGAUGGGUUUGGCUUUUGCCAAAGUAUAAUUGGAUGAACGCACUAUUAUUAUGGAGGGUAAAUUGUUCCUAAAUUUAGGAUGUUAUUUUAUUUUUAAAUCUAAAUUUUAAUUUGUUGCAAUAAAA
rnacentral:misc_RNA from 1 species